CGGGGAGGUUUGGGCUUCUGCAGCAGGUUCCGUCUCUAGUACCGCGAGCUCCAGCUCUGGUCCGCAGCGCUGCGGCUGAGAUCUGGAGCGGGCAGAGGGGACUGGGCUGUCCAGAAUGACUGCCCUGCGUAACAGCCAGCAGGUCCCUGGUGGUCUGACCUGGGAGACACCUGACAAUCCAGAUUGAGUGCUCCGAGUGGGGUGACUGUGCUGAGUGACGUCCCAGUGGGCCAUCACGGGUGUCCCCAACUCCAGGGUGAAGCCAAGGUCAGUCAGCCACGGCCCCACUCUGUGCUGAGGGUCUGGCUCUGGUUGUGCUUCGCUGCCCCAUGCAUCAGGUCAGGAGGGAAAGAGGACAGCAUUUGUCCAGAUCUGGCCCUCUAGGGUCAGUGGGGAUGUGUCUGAGCUGGGAAGGGUCCCAGGGCGAAGCCAAAAUGGAGAGCGGGCCAGGGCCUCCUGCAAGCAGGGCCUUUGCUCCUCUUCCUAUGGGCGAGAUCCUGUGCCCGCCUGUCACAUGUCCCGUGCCACCCCGUGUCUUCUGGCACAGCACUUCUCUCUGGAAGGUGCCCUACCCUGCUUUCCUGUUUCUUGCGUAACUCUCCUUACCCUGCUCUGAGACCAGCACCUAGCCCAGGAACUCCCCGCCAUAGGCGUCAGGGGGCUAGGGUGGGCGCAGGGUGGCCAUGUGCCUGCCUCCAGGUGAGAAGUUGGGGUCAGGGUUGCUAAACGACUCGGGUUGGGUUGAAGUGAGCCCUCAUGAGUUGAUGCGCUCAUGGAGCAUGUGCUGCUUUGUGGGAUUCUCCCCCCACCAUUGGCCCCAAAGUAAAACCUGAGACAGGGAGCUGGGCCAGAGACCCCUGGCAAACACAAGGUCCCUUCUGGCUGGAUUCUAUUCUUAACUUCAAGGAGUCACCUCCUAGGGCCCCAGCGUGGGCUUUGGCGACUUCAUGUGACCCAGCUCUGCCCCUGCUGGCUGUGUGACCUCAGGGAACCCCUCAACCCCUCUCCAGCUCAGGGUCCUCGUCUGUGAGAUGGUCAGUGACACUAUCUUCUGUGUGGGGUGGGGGUGGGGAGUCACCCAAAUGAGGGGGACAACAUAGUGAGGUCCGUGUGGGUGCUUGGCACCCCAGAACGCCUGCAGCCUGACAGCUGCCUUCCCCCUGGCCUGCUGGCAGAGCCCCCUGUUCCCAGCCUCCUUCGUAACCAGCUAGGAGGCUCGGUUGAGCCUGGUGUCACUCCUCCCCUCUUCCCAAAGCCCGGUCCUCCUGACCCAUCUCCUUGCCCCUUCUCCCCACUGUCUUACCCACACUCUGAAUCUGGUGGGACUGGGUUAUUGAGGGCUGGUGGGUGCCAGGCUCUGUCCUACUGUCUGCCCUCUCUGAGCCCAUAGCCAGAGGGGGUACCUGGUGGGUGCCAAAGGUUCCAGCAGGUCAGCACAGGCCUCCCAGCACUGGUGACCUUGCCUCUGGCCUCACUGUUGGGUUGCAUGGCCUCUUGGACUUCCCCGUGCCUGGCCUUGAUGGGCAGGUGCCCACUGGUGAUGCAGGGUCCGGCCAGGCUGGGCAGGAGCUGGGUCCCUCCUGUCCUGACCCGCAAGGAGGACGCAGACAGCUGGUUUUGAACACAUAAUGGGCUUGCUGCGGAUGUGGCCUGGUGCACGUGGUUCCCAGCAGCCCAACUCAUACCCGAGGGGCCCUGUGUGCUCUAGCCAGCCUGAGGUCAGCCUGGCCGCAGUCUCUGUGCCACUAGCUGGCGCCCGAGCGAUCUCGGCUACAGCUGGCGAAGGUGUGGGCACUGUCCUCGCGGGGCCUGCAGCCGGCAUGGUCACGGUCCAGUGUGUUGAAGCCAUAGCCCUCCUGGUUGUCCAUGUGGCCGGAGGCCAGACACGUCCGCUGCGGGUGUGGGUGGUGUAGGCGGUGUGCCCCACAGCCCCUCACAACCACAGCAGCUCUCCGCUGGGCCUCGACAUCUGGGACACCCAAGGAAGGCGCUUGGGGAGCAGCAGCCUUUUCCAGAGAGCGGAGGCUGGCAGGCCAAACCUCAGCCGCUUGUCCAUGUGGAAGCUGUCACAGUGGAUCCGUAGUGUGUGGCUGUCUGUCUCCGAGGUCCACCAUCAGUUCAGUGCAGGCUGGGCUGGGGGUGGGGUCAGGCCCGAGAUGUGCUCCAGCCCCAGCCAGUGCUAAUCUGCAGGGAUGGGGCACCCAGGCUCAGGCCGGUUGCCUGCUGGCUUCCCUAUCCCCAUCCCUGCCCUGUGUUCCUGGUGGGGAUCAAAGCUGCAGCUUUAAGGACAAGGCCCUGGGCGCCUCGCUGCACCCUGCCCCGUCUGCCGAAUCACCGUCCAGCCACCAUCCAUAUGCAUGUCACACAGAGCCUGGGGGCAGCAGCCGUCAUGCCAGCUGCCGCCCGCGCUCACCACGCCUGGACCGGUCCACACAGGAGAGCCACUCUCCCCUAAUCACUUUGUAUUUAUUGAAAAAAGGAAACUUAUUGUUUUCCUGCUUGUCAAUGUAACACAAAUUUGCAUUGUAAUAAAUUCAAAUUCUCAGAAAUAGGGUGAAUACUCCCAGUCAUUCCCCAGGCCCAGAGGCUCCCGCCCACAGCUCAGCAUAUGUUGUUGUCACCCCACUCUGUGGUCUCCUUUUUGCACUUAACAUGGGUGCUGGGCAUCUGUCUUCAUGCACCGCCUUCGAGUCGGGUGUGUAGGGCUCCUCCAGCCUCUGCUGACCGUGAACAGCACUCUGGGAACGCCUCUGUGCCCAGGUGUGCGGUCUGCGGCUGGGCUCUCCGAGGUGAGUGCCAUGGCCAGGCCCCACCAGCAACACUGAGCCUGGCUCUUCCCUGCCAACCCUAAACAGUAAGUAACCUCUUGCUUUACCAAAGUGACACCCACAAAACAUGUCUUCGCUGCCCAGCUGCUGGCUGCUCACCUGGGCGGUGUACACGCCACUGGUGCUCUGUGAUUUUCACAUAUUUCACAAAACAGGAGUUUCCAAAAUUAGCUUUUAUUUCAGUUUCUAAGGAACACGUACAUGAAUGACAGGAAGGGCACAGUCCAGCCCCGAGGCCCCCCGGCCCAGCUCAUGGCCGUGGGUUUCACCUGAUUUGGUUAGACACCGAGUCAACAUAGACAAGCAGAUGUGGCCCAGACAGGCUGCACGGACACGUUG